rnacentral:rRNA from 1 species
CCUACGGGUGGCUGCAGUGAGGAAUAUUGGUCAAUGGGCGAGAGCCUGAACCAGCCAAGUCGCGUGAAGGAUGACGGCCCUACGGGUUGUAAACUUCUUUUGUCAGGGAGCAAUUGGGUCCACGCGUGGGCUUAGCGAGAGUACCUGAAGAAAAAGCAUCGGCUAACUCCGUGCCAGCAGCCGCGGUAAUACGGAGGAUGCGAGCGUUCUCCGGAUUUAUUGGGGUUAAAGGGAGCGUAGGCCGGCUUUUAAGUCAGCUGUGAAAGUCCCCGGCUCAACCGUGGAAUUGCAGUUGAAACUGGAGGCCUUGAGUGCACACAGGGAUGCCGGAAUUCAUGGUGUAGCGGUGAAAUGCUUAGAUAUCAUGAAGAACUCCGAUCGCGAAGGCAAGUGUCCGGGGUGCAACUGACGCUGAGGCUCGAAAGUGCGGGUAUCAAACAGGAUUAGAUACCCGUGUAGUC